GAGACACCCCUAUGGAGCAGGAAUUGCUUCAAUGUGACUUUGGUGCUCACUGAGUCUGCCCCUUGAGUGUGUUGCU
rnacentral:pre_miRNA from 1 species